AGAGUUUGAUCCUGGCUCAGAAUCAACGCUGGCGGCGUGCCUAACACAUGCAAGUCGAACGAGAAAGUGGAGCAAUCCAUGAGUAAAGUGGCGACCGGGUGAGUAACACGUGACCAAUCUACCCUUGAGUGGGGGAUAACCUCGGGAAACCGGGGCUAAUACCGCAUAACAUCUUCGGAUCGGAAGAACUGAAGAUCAAAGGAGCAAUUCGCUUAAGGAGGAGGUCGCGGCUGAUUAGCUAGUUGGCGGGGUAAAAGCCCACCAAGGCGACGAUCCAUAGCUGGUCUGAGAGGACGACCAGCCACACUGGGACUGAGACACGGCCCAGACUCCUACGGGAGGCAGCAGUGGGGAAUCUUGGACAAUGGGGGAAACCCUGAUCCAGCCAUGCCGCGUGAGUGAUGAAGGCCCUAGGGUUGUAAAACUCUUUCGCGCACGACGAUAAUGACGGUAGUGCGAGAAGAAGCUCCGGCUAACUUCGUGCCAGCAGCCGCGGUAAUAACCUAAAUAGC
rnacentral:rRNA from 1 species